CAGUCGCCGCGGUAAAACGGAGGGUGCAAGCGUUAAUCGGAAUUACUGGGCGUAAAGCGCACGCAGGCGGUCUGACAAGUCAGAUGUGAAAUCCCCGGGCUUAACCUGGGAACUGCAUUUGAAACUGUCAGGCUGGAGUCUUGUAGAGGGGGGUGGAAUUCCAGGUGUAGCGGUGAAAUGCGUAGAGAUCUGGAGGAAUACCGGUGGCGAAGGCGGCCCCCUGGACAAAGACUGACGCUCAGGUGCGAAAGCGUGGGGAGCAAACAGGAUUAGAUACCCGAGUAGUCCCUGUCUCUUAUAC
rnacentral:rRNA from 1 species